GUAACAAGGUUUCCGUAGGUGAACCUGCGGAAGGAUCAUUGUCGAAACCUGCAAAAGCAGACCGUGAACAUGUUAAAUAAUAAUGGAUUCAUGGUGGGUGGGGCAACCCCCACAUCAUGUUUCACUCCCUCACAUGCCCACUUAGGUGUGCAUUGUGCAGGCUAACGAACCCCGGCGCGGUAUGCGCCAAGGAAAACUAAUAGAAGUAUCUACCCCCCAUUGUCCCGUUUGCGGGUAGCAAUUGUGGGAUAGAUCACUCUCCAAUGUCAAAACGACUCUCGGCAACGGAUAUCUCGGCUCUCGCAUCGAUGAAGAACGUAGCGAAAUGCGAUACUUGGUGUGAAUUGCAGAAUCCCGUGAACCAUCGAGUCUUUGAACGCAAGUUGCGCCCAAAGCCAUCCGGUUAAGGGCACGUCUGCCUGGGCGUCACGCAUCACGUCACUCCCUCCUCUCGUCCCUUUGGGACGUGUUGCUGGUGGGGUGGAUAUUGGCCUCCCGUGUGUUGACACGCGGCUGUCCUAAACAUGAUCCCCCGGCGACUCACGUCACGGCUAGUGGUGGUUGAACACAACUCCCGUCCUGUCUUGAUGAAUUGUGUCGCUUGCUGGGCUCUAAUAGACCCAAUGGUGCGACUCUCGUGCCUUCGAUUGCGACCCCA
rnacentral:sRNA from 1 species